rnacentral:rRNA from 1 species
GACGAACGCUGGCGGCGUGCCUAACACAUGCAAGUCGAACGAGAUUUACCCAAUUAGUUUACUAAGAAGGUAAAUCUAGUGGCGGACGGGUGAGUAACGCGUGGGCAAUCUGCCCUGUGGAAAGGGAUAGCCUCGGGAAACCGGGAUUAAUACCUUAUGAUAUUAUGACUACGCAUGUAGUGAUAAUCAAAGAUUUAUCGCCACAGGAUGAGCCCGCGUCCCAUUAGCUAGUUGGUGAGAUAAUAGCCCACCAAGGCGACGAUGGGUAGCCGACCUGAGAGGGUGAACGGCCACACUGGGACUGAGACACGGCCCAGACACCUACGGGUGGCAG